GACGAACGCUGGCGGCGUGCCUAACACAUGCAAGUGGAGCGACGAACCAGGGCUUGCCCUGGGGCUAAGCCGCGAACGGGUGAGUAACACGUGGGUUACCUGCCUCGAUGACCGGGACAACCCGAGGAAACUCGGGCUAAUACCGGAUGUGCCCGCAAGGGGAAAGGAAGCUUCGGCCUCCGCAUCGAGACGGCCCGCGGCCCAUUAGCUUGUUGGUGAGGUAACGGCUCACCAAGGCUGCGAUGGGUAGCUGGUCUGAGAGGACGAUCAGCCACACUGGGACUGAGACACGGCCCAGACUCCUACGGGAGGCAGCAGUGGGGAAUCUUGCGCAAUGCGCGAAAGCGUGACGCAGCAACGCCGCGUGGGGGAAGAAGGCUUUCGGGUUGUAAACCCCUUUCAGUUGGGACGAAGCUUCGCCGAUGAAUAGUCGGUCGGAGUGACGGUACCUUCACAAGAAGCACCGGCUAACUACGUGCCAGCCGCCGCAGUAA
rnacentral:rRNA from 1 species